rnacentral:rRNA from 1 species
GACGAACGCUGGCGGCGUGCCUAAUACAUGCAAGUAGGACGCAGUUGCGAACGGGAGAGUAACGCGUAGGUAACUACCUAGUAGAGGGGGAUAACUAGUGGAAACGAUAGCUAAUACCGAAUAAUAGUAGAUGGAUCUGCUUUGUAUUAGCUAGUAGGUUGGGUAAUGUCCUACCAAGGCAAUGAUACAUAGCCGACCUGAGAGGGUGAUCGGCCACACUGGGACUGCGACACGGCCCAGACUCCGACGGGAGGCAGCAGUAGGGAAUCUUCGGCAAUGGGGGGAACCCUGACCGAGCAACGCCGCGUGAGUGAAGAAGGUUUUCGGAUCGUAAAGCUCUGUUGUUAAGGAAGCGGUACUUAACCAGAAAGGGACGGCUAACUACGUGCCAGCAGCCGCGGUAAUAC